rnacentral:ncRNA from 2 species
UCGCAUUCUCAGGGCGGGGCGGAAUUCCCCACCGGUGGUAAGCGAAAGUAAGCCCACGAGCGUUCGUAUUUUUUACGAAGUCAGCAGAUUUGGUGAAAAUCCAAAGCCGACAGUUAUAGUCUGGAUGGUAGAGAAUCGCG